UAGGAGCUCCUCCGAAAGUUUGUGUUCUUUCUUCGGAUCUUCCCCCUCUAGAGAGUUACGUAAUUUGUGGACGGCGCCUAUGGAAGUUCAUGUAUGAAUACUUCCAGAAGUUCUUUCAGAAAAUCGACUGAUUUUAGCAACGAAAUACUCAGGAAGAUGCCCAGGAGUUCCUCUAAAUUAGCGGCAAGUCUGGUGCCAGCAGCCGCGGUAAUUCCAGCUCCACUAAUGUAUAUUAAAAUUGUUGCGGGUAAAACGUUCGAAGUUUAUUCUUGUCCAACACGGGUGCUACUCCUAAUGGCAGUAGGUCACUGGAUUGUUGUUAAAUUGGUAGACCGUCAUAAGACUAACAUAAGCGAAAGCAUUUGCCAUGUAUGCUUUCAUUAAUCAAGAACGCCCUAGUGCUAACCGUAAACUAUGCCUAUUAGCAAUUGGGAGACACUACAUUAUUGUGCUCUCAGUAGCUUCCAGGAAACUAAAAUUAGGUUCCG
rnacentral:ncRNA from 1 species